rnacentral:rRNA from 1 species
UGAACGCUGGCGGCGUGCUUAACACAUGCAAGUCGAACGAAGCACUACCGACGGAACUUUUCGGAGGGAAGAUGGUAAUGACUGAGUGGCGGACGGGUGAGUAACGCGUGGGCAACCUGCCCCAUAGAGGGGGACAACAGCUGGAAACGGCUGCUAAUACCGCAUAACAAGGAGAGAGCGCAUGUUCUUUUCUUCAAAGAUUUAUCGCUAUGGGAUGGACCCGCGUCUGAUUAGCUAGUUGGUGAGGUAACGGCUCACCAAGGCGACGAUCAGUAGCCGGCUUGAGAGAGUGAACGGCCACAUUGGGACUGAGACACGGCCCAAACUCCUACGGGAGGCAGCAGUGGGGAAUAUUGCACAAUGGGGGAAACCCUGAUGCAGCGACGCCGCGUGAGUGAAGAAGUAUUUCGGUAUGUAAAGCUCUAUCAGCAGGGAAGAUAAUGACGGUACCUGACUAAGAAGCCCCGGCUAACUACGUGCCAGCAGCCGCGGUAAUACGUAG